rnacentral:rRNA from 1 species
GCUUACGACCAUAUCACGUUGAAUACACGCCAUCCCGUCCGAUCUGGCAAGUUAAGCAACGUUGAGUCCAGUUAGUACUUGGA